GACGAACGCUGGCGGCGUGCUUAACACAUGCAAGUCGAACGGAAAGGCCCUGCUUUUGUGGGGUGCUCGAGUGGCGAACGGGUGAGUAACACGUGAGUAACCUGCCCUUGACUUUGGGAUAACUUCAGGAAACUGGGGCUAAUACCGGAUAGGAGCUCCUGCUGCAUGGUGGGGGUUGGAAAGUUUCGGCGGUUGGGGAUGGACUCGCGGCUUAUCAGCCUGUUGGUGGGGUAGUGGCUUACCAAGGCUUUGACGGGUAGCCGGCCUGAGAAGGUGACCGGCCACAUUGGGACUGAGAUACGGCCCAGACUCCUACGGGAGGCAGCAGUGGGGAAUAUUGCACAAUGGGCGGAAGCCUGAUGCAGCAACGCCGCGUGCGGGAUGACGGCCUUCGGGUUGUAAACCGCUUUCGCCUGUGACGAAGCGUGAGUGACGGUAAUGGGUAAAGAAGCACCGGCUAACUACGUG
rnacentral:rRNA from 1 species